GGCGUGUACUGCUUGGCUGGGCCUUACUUCUUGGUGAGCCGGCGUGCCCUUUAUUGGUGUGCGUCGGGGAACCAGGACUUUUACCUUGAGAAAAUUAGAGUGUUCAAAGCAGGCCUAUGCCUGAAUACAUUAGCAUGGAAUAAUAGAAUAGGACGUGCGGUUCUAUUUUGUUGGUUUCUAGAGUCGCCGUAAUGAUUAAUAGGGACAGUUGGGGGCAUUGGUAUUGAGUCGCUAGAGGUGAAAUUCUUGGAUUGACUCAAGACCGACUAUUGCGAAAGCAUUUGCCAAGGAUGUUUUCAUUAAUCAAGAACGAAGGUUAGGGGAUCGAAAACGAUCAGAUACCGUUGUAGUCUUAACAGUAAACUAUGCCGACUAGGGAUCGGAUGACCUCAAAAUUGAUGUGUCAUUCGGCACCUUACGAGAAAUCAAAGUCUUUGGGUUCUGGGGGGAGUAUGGCCGCAAGGCUGAAACUUAAAGGAAUUGACGGAAGGGCACCACCAGGUGUGGAGCCUGCGGCUUAAUUUGACUCAACACGGGGAAACUCACCAGGUCCAGACAUAACUAGGAUUGACAGAUUGAUAGCUCUUUCAUGAUUUUAUGGGUGGUGGUGCAUGGCCGUUCUUAGUUGGUGGAGUGAUUUGUCUGGUUAAUUCCGAUAACGAACGAGACCUUAACCUGCUAAAUAGCCAGGCCGGCUUCGGCUGGUCUCUGGCUUCUUAGAGGGACUGUCAG
rnacentral:rRNA from 1 species